rnacentral:lncRNA from 1 species
UUUUCCCUCUACUUCUUCGACCCUAUAUAAGGGGUUUCCAUAGCAUCUAAUAUACACAAGUUUACAUUCUUUAGUUUCGAGUUUUUAGUUUCGUAGAAAAAAGAGUAGAGAAAGUAGUGGGUGACAAGCAUUGCACGUAGGGUUUAUUCACUUUUUGUAGAGUAGAGAUAUUGUAGUUGUUGUUGGAUUUUGCGGAGGAUCUCACGAUAGAGACAGACUGUGAGCUUUCUUUGUUGUUUCUGGUAUGCUUG